rnacentral:misc_RNA from 1 species
UUUCCGUAGGUGAACCUGCGGAGGGAUCAUUACAGAGUUCAUGCCCUACCGGGUCGAUGUCCCACCCUAUGUUAUUAUUACUUUGUUGCUUUGGCGGGCCGUUAGGCUCCGGCCCGACUACCGGCCCCGGCUGGGAAGCGCCCGCAAGAGGCCCCAAAACCCUGAAUAUUAGUGUCGUCUGAGUACUGUAUAAUAGUUAAAACUUUCAACAACGGAUCUCUUGGUUCUG